UCAACCGCUGGGAUMGUUUACUUUGAGGAAAUUAGAGUGUUCAAAGCAGGCGUAACUCGCCUCCGAAUACGUUAGCAUGGGAUAAUGGAAUACGACUUCGGUCUUGUUUCGUUGGUUUCGCUUGGCUGAAGUAAUGAUUGAUAGGGACAGUUGGGGGCAUUAGUAUUUAGUUGUCAGAGGUGAAAUUCUAGGAUUUACUAAAGACUGACCAAUGCGAAAGCAUUUGCCAAGGAUGUUUUCAUUAAUCAAGAACGAAAGUAGGGGGAUCGAAGACGAUCAGAUACCGUCGUAGUCUCUACCGUAAACUAUGCCGACCAGGGAUCCGGAGAGUUUGCAUGGAUGACUCCCCGGGCACCUUGUGAGAAAUCAUAAGUGUUUGGGUUUUGGGGGGAGUAUGGUCGCAAGGCUGAAACUAAAGGAAUGACGGAAGGCCCCCACGUWUC
rnacentral:rRNA from 1 species